CUGAAAUUGAGGUGGAUUGGUGAGUUGAUUCAAGAUUUCUAAGAAAAGGAAAAUCUUAGGUGUGAGAGCUGGUGCCUUGGAGUUGGGAAAAUUCCAGCAAAAAUCAGGAAGUGUGCACUUGAAUUGGUAGCAAAUAAGUGUUCCACUAUUUUAAGGUGAGUAGGGGGUGUCCAUUUCAAAAUAAUCUCAUAAUUUGGUAUGUAGGUAUAUAUGUCUUUAUGAGCAUGAAAUGAUUUAUUUUAAAUGCAACUUGUGGAAAUCAUGAGCUGGUAGUGAUCCUAGGAGUUGUGAAUGCCAAGUGUUUGAAAUGGGUUUGACUAUACAUAUAUAUAUAUGAGUUAUGUACGUAAAGGAUUUAAAAAUCGAGAAGCAAGCUUUUCAAUGUAUUUACGUCAAAAACGUGCCUUGUGGAUUGUGUGAAGUGCAUUCAUGGAUAAAUUCUUAUUCACCAUGCGGAUUAGGCAUUUACCUUAUG